rnacentral:rRNA from 1 species
CCUACGGGAGGCAGCAGUGAGGAAUAUUGGACAAUGGGCGCAAGCCUGAUCCAGCAAUGCCGCGUGUGUGAAGAAGGCCUUAGGGUUGUAAAGCACUUUCAAUUGUGAAGAAGGGGUUAGUACUAAUAUUGCUGACCUUUGACGUUAACUUUAGAAGAAGCACCGGCUAACUCCGUGCCAGCAGCCGCGGUAAUA